CGGGCACUGCCCUUCCCGUGCCGGGGUCCAAUUCCAGUGGCCUUAAGCAAUUCCGAGGGAGCUGGCUCUGACCGGGCCGUGGUCUGGUUACCCGGCGCCCACCUGUAAAUACAGGUCCUCGGGAAUUUACGUACCCUGACGGUCGUGGUGGUCCCGCC
rnacentral:misc_RNA from 2 species